GAGGGGGAAGGAGGAGGAGGUGGCUCCGCAUGUGCCUCACGUUGUGGAGACACGGUAGAUGGCUCCGUAGGUUGCCUUUCCUCACGUUGGAUCCGUGAGACUCUUCCGGAUCUCUUGGCUACGGCUCUUUUGGGUCCCAUUUCUCCAAGAUCUUAAGGUAAUCUACUGUUUGGAGGAGUUUGAAGAGUGGGGAUUAGAGUAUUCAGAAGAGGACAAGGGCAAACAGUGCCCUAAUAGUGCUCUCGGGUCCCCCUUUAACAGUGGGGUCCCGACGUU
rnacentral:lncRNA from 1 species